GACGAACGCUGGCGGCGUGCUUAACACAUGCAAGUCGAAUGGAAAGGCCCUGCUUGCAGGGUCCUCGAGUGGCGAACGGGUGAGUAACACGUGGGUGAUCUGCCCUGCACUUCGGGAUAAGCCUGGGAAACUGGGUCUAAUACCGGAUAGGAGCCAUUUUUAGUGUGAUGGUUGGAAAGUUUUUUCGGUGUAGGAUGAGCUCGCGGCCUAUCAGCUUGUUGGUGGGGUAAUGGCCUACCAAGGCGGCGACGGGUAGCCGGCCUGAGAGGGUGGACGGCCACAUUGGGACUGAGAUACGGCCCAGACUCCUACGGGAGGCAGCAGUGGGGAAUAUUGCACAAUGGGCGCAAGCCUGAUGCAGCGACGCCGCGUGGGGGAUGACGGCCUUCGGGUUGUAAACUCCUUUCGCUAGGGACGAAGCUUUUUGUGACGGUACCUAGAUAAGAAGCACCGGCUAACUACGUG
rnacentral:rRNA from 1 species